CUUAAAUUGAAGAGUUUGAUCAUGGCUCAGAUUGAACGCUGGCGGCAGGCCUAACACAUGCAAGUCGAGCGGAAACGAGUUAUCUGAACCUUCGGGGAAGGAUAACGGCGUCGAGCGGCGGACGGGUGAGUAAUGCCUAGGAAAUUGCCCUGAUGU
rnacentral:rRNA from 1 species